GAUGAACGCUGGCGGCGUGCCUAAUACAUGCAAGUCGAGCGAACAGACGAGGAGCUUGCUCCUCUGACGUUAGCGGCGGACGGGUGAGUAACACGUGGAUAACCUACCUAUAAGACUGGGAUAACUUCGGGAAACCGGAGCUAAUACCGGAUAAUAUAUUGAACCGCAUGGUUCAAUAGUGAAAGACGGUUUUGCUGUCACUUAUAGAUGGAUCCGCGCCGCAUUAGCUAGUUGGUAAGGUAACGGCUUACCAAGGCGACGAUGCGUAGCCGACCUGAGAGGGCGAUCGGCCACACUGGAACUGAGACGCGGUCCAGACUCCUACGGGAGGCAGCAGUAGGGAAUCUUCCGCAAUGGGCGAAAGCCUGACGGAGCAACGCCGCGUGAGUGAUGAAGGUCUUCGGAUCGUAAAACUCUGUUAUUAGGGAAGAACAAAUGUGUAAGUAACUAUGCACGUCUUGACGGUACCUAAUCAGAAAGCCACGGCUAACUACGUG
rnacentral:rRNA from 1 species